UGGGGAAUAUUGGACAAUGGGGGGAACCCUGAUCCAGCCAUGCCGCGUGUGUGAAGAAGGCCUUAUGGUUGUAAAGCACUUUAAGCGAGGAGGAGGGUACUGGUAUUAAUACUACCAGGUACUGGACGUUACUCGCAGAAUAAGCACCGGCUAACUCUGUGCCAGCAGCCGCGGUAAUACAGAGGGUGCGAGCGUUAAUCGGAUUUACUGGGCGUAAAGCGUGCGUAGGCGGCUAAUUGAGUCGGAUGUGAAAUCCCCGAGCUUAACUUGGGAAUGGCAUUCGAUACUGGUUAGCUAGAGUGUGGGAGAGGAUGGUAGAAUUCCAGGUGUAGCGGUGAAAGGCGUAGAGAUCUGGAGGAAUACCGAUGGCGAAGGCAGCCAUCUGGCCUAACACUGACGCUGAGGUACGAAAGCAUGGGGAGCAAACAGG
rnacentral:rRNA from 1 species